UACGUAGGGGGCAAGCGUUGUCCGGAUUUAUUGGGCGUAAAGAGCGUGUAGGCGGCUGGGUAGGUCCGCUGUGAAAACUCGAGGCUUAACCUCGAGACGUCGGUGGAAACCAUCCAGCUAGAGUCCGGAAGAGGAGAGUGGAAUUCCUGGUGUAGCGGUGAAAUGCGCAGAUAUCAGGAAGAACACCUAUGGCGAAGGCAGCUCUCUGGGACGGUACUGACGCUGAGACGCGAAAGCGUGGGGAGCGAACAGG
rnacentral:rRNA from 1 species